rnacentral:rRNA from 1 species
UACAGAGGUCCCAAGCGUUGUUCGGAUUCAUUGGGCGUAAAGGGUGCGUAGGCGGCGCGGUAAGUCGGGUGUGAAAUCUCGGAGCUUAACUCCGAAACUGCAUUCGAUACUGCCGUGCUUGAGGACUGGAGAGGAGACUGGAAUUUACGGUGUAGCGGUGAAAUGCGUAGAUAUCGUAAGGAAGACCAGUGGCGAAGGCGGAUCUCUGGGCCUUACCUGACGCUCAGGCGCGAAAGCUAGGGGAGCAAACAGG